AACAUCUUGACCACACCCUUACUUUGUCUCGUGGAAUCUAGCUAUAAAAUAAAGACUAGGCCUGCAGGCCGUGGCACUGUCUCUCUAAUCAGAGGGCAGCAUCCCACCUAGACCCAGCUUUAUUCUCUUGUCUGUCUUUUCUAAUCCUUCACCGCCCCCCUCCCACUCCCUCACCCCCCCCACCCGCCUUGCCUCAGGUUCACCCAUGGCUGUGCUGGUGCGGCACAGAGAAGGUCUGCCUACGCAAUGAACCUACUCAAGACUUCACCGACUGGCGAGGUGAUGAAAACAAGAAUCUUCAGUCCCUGCUGUCCCUAAGGCCCUACCUCAGUUCCUCCAAGAUAACUCGGCACACAGGACACUCUUUACUCUCCCGAAUGUCAUCUAGCAAGACUCGGCAUACCUGUCUGGAACUGAGCAUCUGGAACCACUUGUGAGUAUCACAUGCAAUUUCCAGCUGUUGUGGGAAAACAAUGAAUGAAGAGAAAGUACUAGGCCUGACAAGGCUUAGCAUCUAGGGGAGAAGAGGGAGACGUAGGGAGAAGAUCCUAAAGGUCAAAUGCAAUGUCUCCCAUUGUUCAUGUACCUUUUCAAAAAGAGACAAUUCCAUUUGAUCCACUAAUAGAGUGGUUCUCAAUCUUCCUAACGCCGAGACCCUUUAAUACAGUUUCUCAUGUUGUGGUGACCCCCAAUUUCAUUGUUACAAAUUGAACAUAAUUAAAGCACAGUGAUUAAUCACAAAAACAAUAUGUAAUUAUAUAUGUGUUUUCUGAUGGUCUUAGGUGACCCCUGUGAAAGGAUUGUUCGACCCCCAAAGGGGUCGGCCGUGACCCACAGGUUGAGAACCGCCGCACUAAUAUCUUUAGAAAACUCUGACCUUCUGCAAAAAGAAGGAAACUAAAAUUAUAGCCUUGCCUGUAGCUUGGAUGCUUUACAAACACGGCACCACAGUGAGGCAAUCUAGAUAGAGUGCCAAACCAAAGCAGGCUAAGAGUGGGAAUUUUAUGCCAUUAACACAAAAGGUUAGGGGGCCAGGUUGAAUUUGGACAAAAUCACAUAGGAUCUUGAGUCCAGAGCAUUUUCUAACAGUGAAUUUCAAUAAGAAGUUUUGGGAAAUACCUCAAUCUUGUAUUGGACACAGGGCAAAGAUCUACUGCUUUUUUCCCCCCCAGGGAAGUCCCGAGAAAAUGGAAUCAAUUCCCCUGCUCUAAUAAUUUUUCUCACACCCCCCCCCCCCCCCCCGAACUAUCCUACCUACACCAGUGCUCUACUCCUCUGUUAGAAAAAAAUUAACCAUGUCAUGUAAACACUUUAAAGGCUGUCCUACUGUCUACUAAAUCAAGUGCACAUUCCUUUGCUUAGUUAUUUAAAAAGCCUACAUAAUUUAGCCCCACCCCACAUAUGCACCAGUGCUCUCCCACACAUACCCUCUCAUUUAGUCAGGCUGGCCCUCUCACUGUCCCCAGAUAGCUUACUCAUUCCUGCCUUUGCAUUUUAAUAUCAGUAUUCUUCAUCCUAAACCUGGAAUCUAAAUUUACUCUUCCUCUUUAACAAUCCCCAAAAUGCCCUACCUUUGGAAUUUUUUUUAACUAUUUCAAUUUUCCCCUUUUCCAUCUCCAAGUAAUUAUCAAGUCAUAGAUAGAUAGACAAAUAGAAAGAGGUAGAUAUUGUAUAUAUAGAGAUAUAGCCUCCCCAACUAUACUGUAAGCUACCACCAUGUAUAUGAAUUUUAUGUUACAGUGUCCCAUAUAAAUUGUGCUCAAUAAAUAAUUAGUGAUUAAUUGCAGUCCUUCUUCUUCUAUGAGUUAAAGGCUAAACACACACACAAAAUUAGUCUCAUUCCCAUGUGGGAUUUCAAAAGAACAUGACUUGUAAGUAUACUUGGUUCCUUUAAGUUUGGUAACACAGGGAAAAAAUGGAGAGA